GACGAACGCUGGCGGCGUGCUUAACACAUGCAAGUCGAACGGAAAGGCCCUGCUUUUGUGGGGUGCUCGAGUGGCGAACGGGUGAGUAACACGUGAGUAACCUGCCCUUGACUUUGGGAUAACUUCAGGAAACUGGGGCUAAUACCGGAUAGGAGCUCCUGCUGCAUGGUGGGGGUUGGAAAGUUUCGGCGGUUGGGGAUGGACUCGCGGCUUAUCAGCUUGUUGGUGGGGUAGUGGCUUACCAAGGCUUUGACGGGUAGCCGGCCUGAGAGGGUGACCGGCCACAUGAGGCCUGAGAUAGGCCCCAGACUCCAACGGGAGACAGCAGGGGGGAAUAUGGCCCAGGGGGCGGAAGCGUGAGACGGCAGCGCCGGGUGGGGGAUGACGGCUUGCGGGUUGAAAACCGCUUCCGCCUGAGACGAAGCUUGUGUGACGGUAAUGGGUAAAGAAGCACCGGCUAACUACGUG
rnacentral:rRNA from 1 species